rnacentral:rRNA from 1 species
GAUGAACGCUAGCUACAGGCUUAACACAUGCAAGUCGAGGGGAAACGACAGAGGAAGCUUGCUUCCGUUUGGGCGUCGACCGGCGCACGGGUGAGUAACGCGUAUCCAACCUUCCCGCAAGUAAGGGAUAACCCGUAGAAAUGCGGCCUAAUACCUUANGUUUUCCUUAGAUGGCAUCUGAUGAGGAACAAAGAUCCGUCGCUUGCGGAUGGGGAUGCGUCUGAUUAGUUAGUCGGCGGGGUAACGGCCCACCGAGACGACGAUCAGUAGGGGUUCUGAGAGGAAAGUCCCCCACAUUGGAACUGAGACACGGUCCAAACUCCUACGGGAGGCAGCAGUGAGGAAUAUUGGUCAAUGGGCGAGAGCCUGAACCAGCCAAGUAGCGUGCAGGAUGACGGCCCUAUGGGUUGUAAACUGCUUUUAUAAGGGAAUAAAGUGGGGCUCGUGAGCUCUUUUGCAUGUACCUUAUGAAUAAGGACCGGCUAAUUCCGUG